UACGGGGGGGGCAAGCGUUGUUCGGAAUUACUGGGCGUAAAGGGCUCGUAGGUGGCCAACUAAGUCGGACGUGAAAUCCCUCGGCUUAACCGGGGAACUGCAUCCGAUACUGGAUGGCUUGAAUUCGGGAGAGGGAUGCAGAAUUCCAGGUGUAGCGGUGAAAUGCGUAGAUAUCUGGAGGAAUACCGGUGGCGAAGGCGGCAUCCUGGACCGACAUUGACGCUGAACGGCGAAAGCUAGGGGAGCAAACGGG
rnacentral:rRNA from 1 species